rnacentral:rRNA from 1 species
UACGGAGGGUGCAAGCGUUAAUCGGAAUUACUGGGCGUAAAGCGCGCGUAGGUGGUUUGAUAAGCGAGAUGUGAAAGCCCCGGGCUUAACCUGGGAACGGCAUUUCGAACUGUCAGGCUAGAGUAUGGUAGAGGAGUGUGGAAUUUCCUGUGUAGCGGUGAAAUGCGUAGAUAUAGGAAGGAACACCAGUGGCAAGGAGGCGACUCUGAGCCAAUACUGACACUGAGGUCGCA